rnacentral:rRNA from 1 species
GACGAACGCUGGCGGCGUGCCUAACACAUGCAAGUCGAGCGGAGUCGAUCGACGGAAGCCUUCGGGCGGAAGAUGGUUGACUUAGCGGCGGAUGGGUGAGUAACGCGUGGGCAACCUGCCUCGAAGACCGGGAUAACAGCCCGAAAGGGCUGCUAAUACCGGAUGUGGUCAAGGAUCCGCAUGGAUUUUUGAUUAAAGGGGAAACCCGUUUCGAGAUGGGCCCGCGUCCUAUCAGCUAGUUGGUGAGGUAAAAGCUCACCAAGGCGACGACGGGUAGCCGGCCUGAGAGGGUGACCGGCCACACUGGAACUGAGACACGGUCCAGACUCCUACGGGGGGCAGCAGUGGGGAAUCUUCCACAAUGGGCGAAAGCCUGAUGGAGCGACGCCGCGUGAGCGAAGAAGGCCUUCGGGUUGUAAGACUCUGUCUGGAGGGACGAAGGAAGUGACGGUACCUCCGGAGGAAGCCACGGCUAACUACGUGCCAGCCGCCGCGGUAAACCCUCGUCUCUA